UACGGGGGGAGCAAGCGUUGUUCGGAUUUACUGGGCGUAAAGGGCGCGUAGGCGGCCACCGCAAGUCGACUGUGAAAUCUCCGGGCUUAACCCGGAAAGGUCAGCCGAUACUGCGGGGCUAGAGUGCGGUAGGGGUGACUGGAAUUCCUGGUGUAGCGGUGGAAUGCGCAGAUAUCAGGAGGAACACCGAUGGCGAAGGCAGGUCACUGGGCCGCAACUGACGCUGAGGAGCGAAAGCAUGGGGAGCAAACAGG
rnacentral:rRNA from 1 species